rnacentral:sRNA from 1 species
AGCAAACAUUGCCGCAAGCUUGCAGCAAACAUUUGCUGCAAACUUGCCGCAACCAUUUUACCAUGCAAAUGAAGGUUGCGGCAAGCUUGCUGCAAACAUGAUUAUGCAAAUUAGAUUUGCCGCAAGCUUGCGGCAAUUGUUUGCUGUAAGCUUGCGGCAAUUGUUUGCU